ensembl:lncRNA
GACAGACUGGAUGGGGCUCUGAGCACCUGAUGGAGCUUUAGGUGUUCAAUGCAGGGGAAUUGGACUAGAUGACCUUUAAUGGUCUCUUCCUACUCAAAUGAUUCUAUGAUACUGUGAUUCUAUAAUACAGUAUGAAAUAUUCCUUCUGCCAUCUAAUGGAGUCACCAGUCUUGGAGAUGGUCUUGCCACCAAAAUCCAGGAAUGAAACUUGCCAACCUGAAGGACAGCUGUUUUAAAACUCCAGCUGGUACAAAGACACCGAAACGUAAAGCAAGAUAGGACAAGAAAUUUGGAAUGACAGAAGGUGCCUUGUCUUUUUUUUUCUAUUUUUUUUAUACCACCCGCUCACAAUUAAGACUUUAUCGCCUCCAGAUGACACACAGAAGUGCUGGUAGAACACCAUGGACAUACCUACAUUUCGUCUUUCAGCAUCUCAUAAUGGUAGGUAUUAAUGUCUUCACUUCUCUGUGAGAGAAUUGUAGGUUAAGAGCACUAUAAACCUCACAAGCAUGAUUAGCAGGAGGAGCACCCAAGACUGAUCUCUUAUUUUAAAUGGGCUUGAUUUACAUCUUCAAUAAAUCUGAAGUGGUCUGUUUAUACCACUUGACCUUUGACCUGAAUCCUGGAAUCGAAGAAUAUGAUCCAGUUUAGGAAUUCUUUG